rnacentral:rRNA from 1 species
AACGAACGCUGGCGGCAGGCUUAACACAUGCAAGUCGAACGGUUGUAGCAAUACAGCAGUGGCAGACGGGUGAGUAACACGUGGGAACCUUCCUAGGGGUACGGAACAACUCAGGGAAACUUGAGCUAAUACCGUAUACGUCCGUGAGGAGAAAGUUUUAACGCCCCUAGACGGGCCCGCGUAGGAUUAGGUAGUUGGUGAGGUAACGGCUCACCAAGCCUACGAUCCUUAGCUGAUCUGAGAGGAUGAUCAGCCACACUGGGACUGAGACACGGCCCAGACUCCUACGGGAGGCAGCAGUGGGGAAUCUUGCGCAAUGGGCGAAAGCCUGACGCAGCGACGCCGCGUGAGGGAUGACGGCCUU